rnacentral:rRNA from 1 species
GAUCCAGCCAUGCCGCGUGUGUGAAGAAGGCCUUCGGGUUGUAAAGCACUUUCGGACGGAACGAAAUCGCGCGCAUGAACAAUGCGCGUGGAUGACGGUACCGUAAGANGAAGCACCGGCUAACUACGUGCCAGCAGCCGCGGUAAUACGUAGGGUGCAAGCGUUAAUCGGAAUUACUGGGCGUAAAGGGUGCGCAGGCGGCCCCGCAUGUCAGGCGUGAAAUCCCCGGGCUCAACUUGGGAAUGGCGCUUGAAACUACGGGGCUGGAGUGUGGCAGAGGGAGGUGGAAUUCCAGGUGUAGCGGUGAAAUGCGUAGAGAUCUGGAGGAACACCGAUGGCGAAGGCAGCCUCCUGGGCCAACACUGACGCUCAUGCACGAAAGCGUGGGGAGCAAACAGGAUUAGAUACCCUGGUAGUCCACGCCCUAAACGAUGACGACUAGUUGUUGGGGGAGUUAAAUCCCUUAGUAACGCAGCUAACGCGUGAAGUCGUCCGCCUGGGGAGUACGGUCGCAAGAUUA